AUUCACACAUCAAAUAAAAUCAUUGGUUGAGGAUCAUAAUGCUCACCAACUUGAGGGUGUUGAUAGUAGUCAAGAAAGGUCCAUAUUCGAAGGAGAAAUUGAGCUUCAUGAUGAGAUAUUAAAAAUUGAACAUCCGCCAACCAACUCUAUGCUUAUUGGACAUGCCGGAGAAGAAAGGAAAUUAGAUUCAAUCGGUGUCAUGGAAAAUGUUGAAAUUGACUCUAGUUCAUUUGGGAGUGAGGAUGUCAAAGAUAGAGCAAAUUUAAAAAUGGAGCGUCUUGGACCGCAUUCCAACCAUUUUCAACAUUGUACUAACCGAGCCUAUGGAGGAUUUUGAAAAUGAAGAAGAAAGCAUUUUCAUUUUGGAGUUUGUCAUGUUAAGAAGACAGAAUGACAUGCCUCACUUAAAGACCAAAAAAUGCAAAAUGGGAUACUCGAGAGUUGGCCUCCUUGCUUUCCUACCACCGCCUCACGAGCAUCACCGGAAUCUUGAUUCAAAGUUGGGCCGAAAAUUCAUAUUAUCAAAGUGGAGGAAAAAGUGGUAAAGUUAACUCAUGUCGUGCCGCGACGUUAAAUCAAGCGCUUGGUGGGAGACAACCCAUCGUUUCCAAAAUUCUAAGUCAUUUUUGAAGUUUUAUUUUUUAGAAAGUUUAUCAUAUUAUUUUUGACAAUUCUACCAAAUUUCACAAUUUUUGGAAUUGAUUUAGAUAGGAUUUUGAGCGUUUGGUAUGGCUGCAUAGGCUAAAAAAUGCACAAACUGCUUCUGCAUAUUAAAUGAGCACACGAGGCAGUGCACUAGGCAUAGCGAGCCCUUCCCUUGUGCGUAAGUUUUUUUUUUUUUUUUUUAAAUAUUUGAACACUUCACAUCUUACCUCUGCCCCAUCGACCCUACUCAAACCAUAACACACGCACAACGGAAACAAAAGAAGCCAGUAACGAAAACAAUUCUUUAUUUUCGUUGUUCUUCUACAGCCAUAAUUCUCAGCAAUUCAGGUUGAAGGGAAGUGCUUAACUUUGACCAAGAGAAUGAUAAUAUCCACAAAGGAAACUUUCAGUGCCUUAUGGUUGAUCAAUAGAGGAUGACGGGAUCUACAGGAAGCAUAAGGAAAGUCAUAAAUUAUGAUCUCUUAAUGGAACAUGUAACCUUGAAUGGCUGAAAUGAUUUUCAAAGGGAGGCAUGCAUAGCCGUCCCCUUUAAUUACUAUUUUGUUCAUUCUAACAUAAAAGUGGAUAAGCUUAUGUACUUUUUGAAUUCGUAAUCUUUGGUAAUCCUUGAUAUAUACUUUAAUGUUUUA